GGGGAAUCUUGCGCAAUGGGCGAAAGCCUGACGCAGCAACGCCGCGUGCGGGAUGAAGGCCCUCGGGUCGUAAACCGCUUUCAGCAGGGAUGAAACUGACAGUACCUGCAGAAGAAGCCCCGGCUAACUACGUGCCAGCAGCCGCGGUAAUACGUAGGGGGCAAGCGUUAUCCGGAUUCAUUGGGCGUAAAGAGCGCGUAGGCGGCUUGUUUAGUCAGAUGUGAAAACCGGGGGCUCAACCCGCGGCCUGCAUCUGAAACUGACAGGCUUGAGUCUGGUAGAGGAAAGUGGAAUUCCUGGUGUAGCGGUGAAAUGCGCAGAUAUCAGGAGGAACACCAGUGGCGAAGGCGGCUUUCUGGGCCACGACUGACGCUGAGGCGCGAAAGCUAGGGGAGCGAAC
rnacentral:rRNA from 1 species